CAAGGCUUGACAUAUGCCGGAAACAUCCAGAGAUGGGUGCCCCCUUGUGGUCGGUAUACAGGUGGUGCAUGGUUGUCGUCAGCUCGUGUCGUGAGAUGUUGGGUUAAGUCCCGCAACGAGCGCAACCCUUGUUCUGUGUUGCCAGCAUGCCUUUCGGGGUGAUGGGGACUCACAGGAGACUGCCGGGGUCAACUCGGAGGAAGGUGGGGACGACGUCAAAUCAUCAUGCCCCUUAUGUCUUGGGCUGCACACGUGCUACAAUGGUCGGUACAAAGGGCUGCGAUGCCGCGAGGCGGAGCGAAUCCCAAAAAGCCGGCCUCAGUUCGGAUUGGGGUCUGCAACUCGACCCCAUGAAGUUGGAGUUGCUAGUAAUCGCAGAUCAGCAUGCUGCGGUGAAUA
rnacentral:rRNA from 1 species